rnacentral:rRNA from 1 species
CUUGCUGCUUCGCUGACGAGUGGCGGACGGGUGAGUAAUGUCUGGGAAACUGCCUGAUGGAGGGGGAUAACUACUGGAAACGGUGGCUAAUACCGCAUAACGUCGCAAGACCAAAGAGGGGGACCUUCGGGCCUCUUGCCAUCAGAUGUGCCCAGAUGGGAUUAGCUUGUUGGUGAGGUAACGGCUCACCAAGGCGACGAUCCCUAGCUGGUCUGAGAGGAUGACCAGCCACACUGGAACUGAGACACGGUCCAGACUCCUACGGGAGGCAGCAGUGGGGAAUAUUGCACAAUGGGCGCAAGCCUGAUGCAGCCAUGCCGCGUGUAUGAAGAAGGCCUUCGGGUUGUAAAGUACUUUCAGCGGGGAGGAAGGUGUUGUGGUUAAUAACCGCAGCAAUUGACGUUACCCGCAGAAGAAGCACCGGCUAACUCCGUGCCAGCAGCCGCGGUAAUACGGAGGGUGCAAGCGUUAAUCGGAAUUACUGGGCGUAAAGCGCACGCAGGCGGUCUGUCAAGUCGGAUGUGAAAUCCCCGGGCUCAACCUGGGAACUGCAUUCGAAACUGGCAGGCUUGAGUCUUGUAGAGGGGGG